rnacentral:rRNA from 1 species
UACGGAGGGGACUAGCGUUGUUCGGAAUUACUGGGCGUAAAGCGCACGUAGGCGGAUUUGUAAGUCAGGUGUGAAAUCCCGGGGCUCAACCUCGGAACUGCCUUUGAUACUGCAAAUCUCGAGUCCGGAAGAGGUGAGUGGAAUUCCUAGUGUAGAGGUGAAAUUCGUAGAUAUUCGCAAGAACACCAGUGGCGAAGGCGGCUCACUGGCCCGUUACUGACGCUGAGGCACGAAAGCGUGGGGAGCAAACAGG